UACGAAGGGGGCUAGCGUUGUUCGGAAUUACUGGGCGUAAAGCGUGCGCAGGCGGCCAUUCAAGUCAGGGGUGAAAGCCCAGAGCUCAACUCUGGAACUGCCCUUGAAACUGUAUGGCUUGAGGAUGAGAGAGGUGAGUGGAAUUCCCAGUGUAGAGGUGAAAUUCGUAGAUAUCGGGAGGAACACCAGUGGCGAAGGCGAUCACCUGGGGUUGUUCUGACGCUGAGGAGCGAAAGCUAGGGGAGCAAACGGG
rnacentral:rRNA from 1 species